CCUACGGGUGGCAGCAGUCGAGAAUCAUUCACAAUGGGGGAAACCCUGAUGGUGCGACGCCGCGUGGGGGAAUGAAGGUCUUCGGAUUGUAAACCCCUGUCAUGUGGGAGCAAAUUAAAAAGAUAGUACCACAAGAGGAAGAGACGGCUAACUCUGUGCAAGCAGCCGCGGUAAUACAGAGGUCUCAAGCGUUGUUCGGAAUCACGGGGCGUAAAGCGUGCGUAGACUGUUUCGUAAGUCGUGUGUGAAAGGCGCGGGCUCAACCCGCGGACGGCACAUGAUACUGCGAGACUAGAGUAAGGGAGGGGGAACCGGAAUUCUCUGUGUAGCAGUGCAAUGCGUAGAUAUCGAGAGGAACACUCGUGGCGAAGGCGGGUUCCUGGACAUUAACUGACGCUGAGGCACGAAGGCCAGGGGAGCGAAAGGGAUUAGAUACCCUUGUAGUC
rnacentral:rRNA from 1 species